rnacentral:rRNA from 1 species
GACGAACGCUGGCGGCGUGCCUAAUACAUGCAAGUCGAGCGAAGUUUUUCUGGUGCUUGCACUAGAAAAACUUAGCGGCGAACGGGUGAGUAACACGUAAAGAACCUGCCUCAUAGACUGGGACAACUAUUGGAAACGAUAGCUAAUACCGGAUAACAGCAUUAACUGCAUGGUUGAUGUUUAAAAGUUGGUUUUGCUAACACUAUGAGAUGGCUUUGCGGUGCAUUAGCUAGUUGGUGGGGUAAAGGCCUACCAAGGCGACGAUGCAUAGCCGACCUGAGAGGGUGAUCGGCCACACUGGGACUGAGACACGGCCCAGACUCCUACGGGAGGCAGCAGUAGGGAUUCUUCCGCAAAGGGCGAAAGCCUGACGGAGCAACGCCGCGUGAGUGAAGAAGGAUUUCGGUUCGUAAAGCUCUGUUGUUAGGGAAGAAUGAUUGUGUAGUAACUAUACACAGUAGAGACGGUACCUAACCAGAAAGCCACGGCUAACUACGUG